rnacentral:rRNA from 1 species
AAGUCGGAAUCGCUAGUAAUCGCGGAUCAGCAUGCCGCGGUGAAUACGUUCCCGGGCCUUGUACACACCGCCCGUCACACCAUGAGAGUCGGGAACACCCGAAGUCCGUAGCCUAACCAAUCUGGAGGGCGCGGCCGAAGGUGGGUUCGAUAAUUGGGGUGAAGUCGUAACAAGGUAUC